rnacentral:tRNA from 2 species
AGGGGUGUAGUUCAGUUGGUAGAGCGUCGGUCUCCAAAACCGAAUGUCGAGGGUUCGAAUCCUUCCGCCCCUGCCA